rnacentral:rRNA from 1 species
CUAAUCUGCGAAAAGCGUCGGUAAGGUGAUAUGAACCGUUAUACCCGACGAUAUCCGAAUGGGGAAACCCAGUAUCCAAUGGAUACUAUCAUUAACUGAAUCCAUAGGUUAAUGAGGCGAACCGGGAGAACUGAAACAUCUCAGUACCCCGAGGAAAAGAAAUCAACCGAGAUUCCCCUAGUAGCGGCGAGCGAACGGGGAGCAGCCCAGAGUCUUAAUCAAUAGCAGUGUCAGGAGAACGGUCUGGAAAGUCCGGCAGUAAAGGGUGAUAGC